GCUGCGUGUGCUUAGAAGGGAGAGCAGAAGGCCGGGCGCGGUGGCUCAAGCCUGUAAUCCCAGCACUUUGGGAGGCCGAGGCGGGUGGAUCAUGAGGUCAACAGAUCGAGACCAUCCUGGUCAACAUGGUGAAACCCCGUCUCUACUAAAAAUACAAAAAAUUAGCUGGGCACGGUGGCGCGUGCCUGUAAUCCCAGCUACUCAGGAGGCUGAGGCAGGAGAAUUGCCUGAACCCAGGGGGCGGAGGUUGCGGUGAGCCGAGAUCGCGCCAUUGCACUCCAGCCUGGGUAACAAGAGCGAAACUCCGUCUCAAAAAAAAAAAAAAGAAGGGAGAGCAGAACAGGCAUUUUCCUAAUCAGCCAGGCCAGUACUCUCUUCCACAGUCUAUUAGUUCAGCAAAAUUAUCGUUAUUCUUUCAGGCCUAGCUUUCAUGUCGCCCCUAGAAUUAUAAAUUCCAGUGUCCCCAUGAUGACCUAUUUUAUGUUCUUUGCUUAUACUAGUGUGUAUUGUGAUAUGGUUAGUUAUAGCACAAAAAUCAUUUUUUUCCGGCCAGGCGCCUGUAAUCCCAGCACUUUGGGAGGCCAAGGCGGGUGGAUCACGUGGUCAAGAGAUCGAGACCAUCCUGGUCAACAUGGUGAAGCCCCAUCUCUACUAAAAUUACAAAAAAUUAGCUGGGCAUGGUGGCGCGUGCCAGUAAUCCCAGCUACUCAGGAGGCUGAGGCAGGAGAAUUGCCUGAACUCAGGAGACGGAGGUUGCGGUGAGCCGAGAUGGUGCCAUUGCAAUCCAGCCUGGGUAACAAGAGUGAAACUCCAUCUCAAAAAAAAGAAAAAUUAUUUUUUCCUCAUCAAUUUCUGGACAGUUCCUAAUAGGUGGUGGAUAUACUUUUGUGAGGGGGAAAAAGAAAUCAAUGAAUAGUAUUUAAUGAUAUAUUUAAUAUUAUUUCAUUAGAAUGCCUCAAGGACACACUGAAUUUUAUUGUCGUUACUGUUAUUUUUCCAGUCUCUGGUCUAAGCACCUGCAGUAACACAAAAGUGAGCCAGAAUUAUCUGCAUUUUCGGGCAGGAUUCUAGCAUCAUCUGAGCCCUAGGAGAAAGGGGAUGAAGUUCCUUUUAGAGACCUCCUUUCCCAGGCUCCCCAAGCCUCCGACAUCUGCCCUGCGGGCUAUCCACAGAUUCGCUUUCCACUGGCUUUCCAUACCCUCCACUUCCCUUCCCAGCCCAGGUCCCUGUGGGCUCCGUGGUGACUUAAUCCUCCCACCGACGAUUUGCAUUUAAAAGGGGGUGAGUGAGGAAUCACUGGCUGGUUAGUUAUAUUGGGAAAGAACUAGGGAUUCUGGUUUUAAAAAAGGGCUAAAAUGUUGCAGUUGUUUUUUCAAAAAUCUACAUUUGCAGGGUCUGGUGUGGUGGCCCAUGGGCAUAAUCUGAGCACUUCGGGAGGCUGAGGUGUGGGGAUCGCUUGAGCCCAGGAGAUCAAGGUUGCAGUGAGCUGUGACGCUGCCACUGCACUCCUGCCUGGGUGACAGAGUGAGACCCUGUCUUGAAAUAAAUAAAUAAUAAAUCCAAAACCCUACAUUUGCAAUUUAGCAUUUCCCUAGGAAACAAAAGUAAUUAGACAGAAAGUCUGCAAUGUAUAAAUUCUGUAAAAUUUGUAAAAAAAAAAAAAAAAAGGGUUUGGGUGCAGUGGCUUGUAUCUGUAAUCCCAGUGCAUUUGGAGGCUGAGAUGGAUCAACUGAGGCCAGGAGUUCAAGAACUGCCUGGGCAAUAUAGUGAGACCCUCAUCUCUACAAUACAUACAGAAAAAAAUCACCUGGGCAUGGUGGUAUUCAGGAGGUUGAGGCGAGAGGAUCACUUGAGCCCAAGAGUUAGAGACUGCAGUGAGCUAUGAUUACACCACUGCACUCCAGCCUGGGGAACAGAGCAAGACCCUAUCUCUGGAAACAAACAAAAAAGGCAGUGGGGAGAGGGGAAUUUUGUACCUUAGAAAUGAAUAAUCUUCUUUGGAACUCUGGCUAUAUCUAUCACUGCCAAGGUAAACAGGGAUAAGGCCAGGAUGUGACUUUGAUGCCUGGUGUUCUUAUUAACCAAAAUGGAGUAAGGAUGAAAGUACUUUUGCAGCAAAUGUUCAGGGGAUUUGAGCACCCAUUUAAGGCUGUAACCAAGCCAGAAUUUCCUUUUUGAGGCCGGGCAGAAUCUGGUCCAAAAAUCAUGAACGACAGGAAUGUUUCUGGUAAUUUUUCUCAAAUCCACCAGAGGGUUCCCCCUGAAUUUUCUGACAAACUUAGCCUAUACACUGCAUCUACAAGACAAGGGAGCAUUUAUGUAAAGUAUUUUCCCCCACUUAGUUACUUUGACAAUUCCAACCCUCACUUUUUCCUCUGCUCGGAUCGACAUCUGAGAAGCGAGACCACAACUGCAUUCCAUUGUAUAGAUCAGCCUGAUUAAAACCAGUUCUCCCUAUAGGUCACAUCAUGUACGAGACACACGGUUUUUGUCAAGAGACCAGCUACCAGCAGAGAAGGUUUUGAUGCUAUUGCUAGUAAGAAAUUAGUAACUAGAUCCCUGGUCUCCUUCAUGCCAACUUUAUAAUUAUACUGUUUCAGUGGUAAACCAGAUCUUUGCGCCAAGGGUAAUUUAGAAAUUCUAGAACUGUAUUCUCUCCCCCUCCUCCUCUAAUGUUCAUCUUUACUGCCUCUCCAUCUUCUUCCUUCAAACAUAUAAUUUUCUUCCACUCCCUCCUCACCCUGGCUCCUUGUUUCUGUGACCCUCUGUCACAAAAGGACAAAUGCAUCUUGUUCUCCCUCAUCCUGGGACAUCAUGGGCAACAAUCAAGGAAGUGUAUGCACAAAUCUAAUUCAGGAACGUGUCGUGGCUCUGCAAGGGCAUUGCCCAUGUGGGCUCAUUGCUGGCCUCUGGGACUGGAGGUUCACAUACGGCCUCAUAGUGAGCUUGGGCUGCCCAUGUAUCUGCAUCCAGGAGUUAGCCUCUCUUUUCUAAGCUCCACACAGGAAACUACUGUCUAGAAUUUUUGAACUCCUCUUGAUGGUGUAACCUUUUUGUACUCUGAGCUCUUUUGCUAUGGAAACAUUUGUUGUGCCAAAUGCAGUGGCUCAUGCCUGUUAUCAUAGCACUUAAGGAAGCUGAGGUUGGAGGGUCAGUUGAGCCCAGCCUGGGCAACACAGUGAGACUCCAUCUCUACAAAAAAUUAAAAAAAAUUAGCAGGUUUGGUGGUAUGCGUCUGUAGUCCCAGCUAUGUGGGAGGAUUGCUGGAGCCAGAUGGUUGAGGCCGCAGUGAGCUCUGAUUGUGCCACUGCAUGCCAGUCAGGGCAACAGAGUGAGAUCCUGUCUCUUAAAAAAAAAAAAAGAUUUGUUAAAUAUUAAAAACUGGCUGAAUGUGGUGGCUUAUGCCUGUAAUCCCAGCACUUUGGGAGGCCAAGUUGGGCAGAUCACCUGAGGUCAGGAGUUCAAGACCAGCCUGACCAACAUGGUGAAACCCCGUCUCUACUAAGAAUUUAAAAAUUAGCUGUGUGUGGUGGUGCAUGCCUGCAGUCCUAGCUACUUGGGAGGCUGAGGCAGGAGAAUCUCUUGAAUCUGGAAGAUGGAGUUUGCAGUGAGCCGAAAUCACACCACUGCACUCCAGCCUGGGUGACAGAGCGAGACUCUGUCUCAAAAAACAAAAACAAAAACUGAAAACUAAAACUGGGGCUUUCUCGCUGAAAACGUGCUGGUCUCACUUGAAUUUUGCAUCGUGUUCUUCCUUCCCUGUUUUCUUCCUUACCCGCUCCCCUGCUGAUACAAUUGGUUUCCUUCUACCUCCUCUCCUUUUAACCUAUCUUUUGAGAUUUUUUUUUUAAAAAAACAAACCUCUUAAGUAUACCUCUUGAAAUCCUAAAUUUUCAUUUCAGCUGAAAGUCAUCCAAACCAUAUGCAUUUCAGUUGAAUACUCCUGCAAUUGGCCUCACUCUGCCAAAGACCUUUUUUUUUUUUUUCUAUAACUGACCGAGUUUCUUUAGAAUAGGCUGGAAUCAUAUUUGGUUCCUCUGAGAUCUUUUGAGGGAUCACCAUCACCAAGUUCCAGGUUGUUCGUUCAUGCAGUACGAUAUGGUUGCUUCAUUCUGUUAACUUGGGAGUAUUUCUCUUCCAGAAUUGCUUGCUCUUCCUUCUUUCUUUAUGCUUUUUCCUUUUACUCUCCCUCCCCUUUGCUCUUCUCUCAGGUAGACUCUGCCUGGUUUGUCACUCUGUCCUGUGUUUCCCUCUCUCCUGAACACUGAUCUCCUGAGAAGAUCAGGCGGGCAGGUGAGUGGCUGCCACACAGCCUCCGUGCUACAGAGGAAUAGCCAACAUUUCCCUCGGAGACAGCUGUUUUCCAUUUCAAGAGUAUCAACAUUGUGGCUUUGUUGAUUGUCUUUUCACCUCCAGGUUUGGCCUUGUUUGUAGCUGAAACAUAAGUAUUUUCCCUAAGCCCUUCAGGGCCACUGCUCCGGCUCUGUCAGCAGCAAGCUCUGCGUGUGUGUGCAUCCUGCCACACAGACGCCACCGGAGUCCCCAUCAGCCACACACCCUCCAACCCAGGGGAGAGAUUAAGGCAAUUGUGCUAAGGCCCACUGGUGAGGAAAAUUGGCCGAUCAAAUUAUUACUAAAUGGCUUUUCCAAUCUUCUCAUUACUCUGUGAGAAAGGAGUGAUUUCUGCAGCUUGUCAGAGCCUGGUCCCUUGUUCAGAGAUAAUACCAAAUCCACAAAAAUCCUGUGAAUGGAGAGGUUUGGUGGCUAUACCUUGGAAACAAGCCACAGGACCUAAUUCAGCAGGGCUGCCCCUUGGUGCAGAAUGCAACCAAUUCUUGCCUGUUUUAAGUGAAAACAUCCCAGGAUGGGAAAGUAUAUUCUGAGAGUGGAAUGCUUUGUAGUUACUGGUACUUAAGGGGCGGGAGGGAGUGUUAAUAAAUGGUCGUGCUGCUUAAAAUUUCCCCGUCUGUUCCCAGGUGACUUCUCCUUAGGGAGCUCCGUGACAAAGAUCAUUAAUAUGUUUCCUACAAUUUGGCCAGGAAGUGGCUGGCAGUGGAAGGAGGAAAAUAAUCAGCACAUCUGCAUGUGAGCCCAUCUCAGACACAAACUGUGAAUCACAACUCACUUGGCUUCAUAACCAAGACCUGCUCUAAGGAAUUUCAUCUCUUCCUUGGAGACCUUGAUUGGCCUGCUAGCCACUGGGAGAAGCCCAAAUGCCGAGGAGGAAAGAAUCGGUGGAAAAAAUGAUGGCGCAGCAUUGGAUGGCAUCUGCUUGCAACCACGACGGUGAAGAUUUUCAAUGGUUUCUGAAAAAGCAAAAAUGGCAUAUUCUCAUUUUUAUGAAGAAUAUGAAUAUAUUCAUAUUGAGAAGGACAGCUUGAAGACUAAGUAUUAAAAUGUGAGUAAUAGUCAUUGGUGGAUGCUGGAGAAACAAGUGAUCUGUCUAUUUCGUUCCUGUGAUUUUCAGGAUUUUCCAAAAUGUUUACAAUGCACAGGUGUCACUUUUGCAAUCAGGUAAAAUGCUAUCAAUGAGGCAGAGGGAAAAAAGGACUUCUUUAUUAAGAUGAGAACUUAAAUACAGAUAAUUAUGAAAAUGUCUGGGAGAAUUCUUUUCCUGGGCCACAUUGAAUGCCAUCAGUUUUAAAACCAGAAAAACUGCACGACCCUGCAGUCAAAAUGGAACAUGGCCGUCUGUUUUAAGUAACAAUGACUGUCAUUCAAUAAACUCGAUACUUGUGUUGAAAAUUUGUCAGUUGAUGUUUUUUAGACAUUCUUGCAGUGAAAGAAUAAUUUCUCCCUGUCUCAGCUGGAAUGUAGCUCUUGUAGGUUUUGGGUUCCGAAUUAUUCAAGGGUCAAAAAUCUACGGUAAGGUUGU